UACGAAGGGGGCUAGCGUUGCUCGGAAUCACUGGGCGUAAAGCGCACGUAGGCGGCUUGUUAAGUCAGGGGUGAAAUCCUGGAGCUCAACUCCAGAACUGCCUUUGAUACUGGCGAGCUUGAGUUCGGGAGAGGUGAGUGGAACAAAUGGUGGAGCGGUGAAAUGCGUAGAUAUUGGGAAGAACACCAGUGGCGAAGGCGGCUAACUGGUCCGAUACUGACGCUGAGGUGCGAAAGCGUGGGGAGCAAACAGG
rnacentral:rRNA from 1 species